GUGUCAUGGAGACCCUGCAACUCUGGAGUAGCAGGACUGGCCCUUUCAUGAAUACCAACUGUUUGUAGAUUAUAUAGAUUUUGGGGUGGCCCAACUCAGAGUCCUCCUGAAUCCAGGCCUAGGUUGCAGCUGAGCUGGUUAGCCUGACAGCUCUUCCUUAUCAGAAUCAACAGGGACGGGAAGAAUCCAAGAGACUGCCUCCAGCAGAUGUUGGAGCAGGAACAAAGCUCCUUUUUGAUCAUUUAGUUCUUUCAGAGUUGAGACAUUUAUAAAUCGGUAAUAUUCUUAAAUUGAAACAGGUGUGGUUACUGGACAUUGUGGGUUAUGGAUUUUUUCUGUUAUAUUUUGUU
rnacentral:lncRNA from 1 species